UCAAAGUUUCUAACACAGCUUUUCCAAACAUCCUAGUUUUAUUUUGGAUGCUUACAUUAUUUUACUUUGCACACAGAAACAAAAUUUUUCAACAAAAAACAAAAGUACCAGGGUCAAAAUUAUUAGCCCCCUUGAUACUAAUAGUCAAUUGUGUUUCCUUUUUGCUGGAUAACAGCUUGCAGUUGUUUUUUUGUAGUUUGUAACAACUCUGACAUCUCCGGAGGAAUCCCAGCCCAUUCUUCUUUGGCAAACCUUUCAAGCUCCUCCAGAUCUGAUGGUCUUCUGGCAUGGACCCUGGUCUUCAGUUGACCCCACAGGUUUUCAAUGGGAUUCAAGUCAGGGCUUUGUGCAGGAUUCCUUCAACCUUGACAAGAUUCACUGAAGCAUCCCCACAGCAUGAUACUACCACCACCGUGUUUAACUUGUCUCAUGUGGCCCUGCAGCUUCUCCUCCUCCACCUCCUCCUGAAGCCUUCAUCUUUUUCAUCAUCAGCUGCUCAGUGACUCUGUUGGACGUCUCACCGUGUGGCAGCAGCUCAGGAGUUUGCAGUCAACCAAGGCCGACUCAGAAUCACUCCCACCGGGAAGAUCUGUGAAGGAAGGUCCACCCGGCUGGUCCAGAAGCUCCGGUCCAGCAGAGCAGCGUCAGAAUGGAGACGUAACCGGUGUUGAUGUCACCGCCUUGACGAAUAGAAGAAAAGGGCAAAAUUUGCCAAAAAUCUUCGUGCCAGGGCGCCCGUGUGGCUUGGCGCGUUGGGCGGGCGACCCAUGUGCGGGGGCUGGUCCCCGGCGCGGCUGGCCCGGGUUCGAUUCCCGCUUGCGGCCCUUUGCUGCGUGUCUUCCCCUGACUCUUCUCCUGUUUCCUGUCUCUCUCACACUGCACCUAUCCAAUAAAGAGCCGAUAAAAGGCCAAAAAAAAAUAACUUUAAAAAAAAAAUUCGUGCCUUCGUGCCUUCGUGCCUUCGUGCCUUCGUGCCUUCGUGCCUUCGUGCCUUCGUGCCUUCGUGC
ensembl:lncRNA